CCUACGGGUGGCAGCAGUGGGGGAUAUUGCACAAUGGGGGAAACCCUGAUGCAGCGACGCCGCGUGUUGGAAGACGGUCCUCUGGAUUGUAAACCACUGUCCCCAGGGACGAAGAUGACGGUACCUUGGGAGGAAGCUCCGGCUAACUACGUGCCAGCAGCCGCGGUAAUACGUAGGGAGCAAGCGUUGUCGGGAAUUACGGGGGGUAAAGGAAGCGUAGGGGGGUUGGAAAGUUGGGUGUUAAAUCUACCGGCUCAACUGGUAGCGGCACUCAAAACUGGUAUUCUUGAGUGAAGUAGAGGCAGGCGGAAUGCGUGGGGUAGCGGGGAAAGGAGUAGAUAUAAGGAGGAACGCCGGUGGCGAAGGCGGCCUGCUGGACUUCGACGGACGCUGAGGUUCGAAAGUGUGGGGAGCAAACAGGAUUAGAUACCCGAGUAGUC
rnacentral:rRNA from 1 species